rnacentral:rRNA from 1 species
UGUGGCGCAUGCCCCGCUUUUGAAAGAUGGUUUCCGCUAUCGCUUACAGAUGGGCCCGCGGUGCAUUAGCUAGUUGGUAGGGUAAUGGCCUACCAAGGCAACGAUGCAUAGCCGACCUGAGAGGGGGAUCGGCCACACUGGGACUGAGACACGGCCCAGACUCCUACGGGAGGCAGCAGCAGGGAAUCUUCCGCAAUGGACGAAAGUCUGACGGAGCAACGCCGCGUGUAUGAAGAAGGUUUUCGGAUCGUAA